rnacentral:rRNA from 1 species
UACGUAGGGGGCAAGCGUUGUCCGGAUUUAUUGGGCGUAAAGAGCGUGUAGGCGGCCAGAUAGGUCCGUUGUGAAAACUCGAGGCUCAACCUCGAGACGCCGAUGGAAACCAUUUGGCUAGAGUCCGGAAGAGGGGAGUGGAAUUCCUGGUGUAGCGGUGAAAUGCGCAGAUAUCAGGAAGAACACCCGUGGCUAAGGCGGCUCUCUAGUACGGUACUGACGCUGAGACGCGAAAGCGUGGGGAGCGAACAGG